GAUGAACGCUAGCGAUAGGCUUAACACGUGCAAGUCGAGGGGCAGCAUGGUCUUAGCUUGCUAAGACUGAUGGCGACCGGCGCACGGGUGCGUAACGCGUAUGCAACUUGCCUCACAGAGGGGGAUAACCCGUCGAAAGACGGACUAAUACCGCGUACACUCCAUCUUGGGCAUCCAAGGUAGAGGAAAUGAACUUCGCUGUGAGAUAGGCAUGCGUCCCAUUAGCUAGUUGGUGAGGUAACGGCUCACCAAGGCGACGAUGGGUAGGGGAACUGAGAGGUUGAACCCCCACACUGGUACUGAGACACGGACCAGACUCCUACGGGAGGCAGCAGUGAGGAAUAUUGGGCAAUGGGCGAGAGCCUGAACCAGCCAAGUCGCGUGAAGGAUGACUGUCUUAUGGAUUGUAAACUUCUUUUAUACGGGAAUAACAAGAGUCACGUGUGACUCCCUGCAUGUACCGUAUGAAUAAGCAUCGGCUAACUCCGUG
rnacentral:rRNA from 1 species